CUGGCAAUGAUGAUUGGCGCAGGGGUACGGACCUCAGCUGAAUAAUGGGAGCUGAGUGUGGGUGUUUCUCGCUCAGUUUGCAUGUGGCAAGUUGUUUGGGAAGCAUCUACACGAGAAAGUCGCCUAGAUCUGAGCCAG